GAUGAACGCUGGCGGCGUGCCUAAUACAUGCAAGUCGAGCGAACAGACGAGGAGCUUGCUCCUCUGACGUUAGCGGCGGACGGGUGAGUAACACGUGGAUAACCUACCUAUAAGACUGGGAUAACUUCGGGAAACCGGAGCUAAUACCGGAUAAUAUAUUGAACGGCAUGGUUCAAUAGUGAAAGACGGUUUUGCUGUCACUUAUAGAUGGAUCCGCGCCGCAUUAGCUAGUUGGUAAGGUAACGGCUUACCAAGGCAACGAUGCGUAGCCGACCUGAGAGGGUGAUCGGCCACACUGGAACUGAGACACGGUCCAGACUCCUACGGGAGGCAGCAGUAGGGAAUCUUCCGCAAUGGGCGAAAGCCUGACGGAGCAACGCCGCGUGAGUGAUGAAGGUCUUCGGAUCGUAAAACUCUGUUAUUAGGGAAGAACAAAUGUGUAAGUAACUAUGCACGUCUUGACGGUACCUAAUCAGAAAGCCACGGCUAACUACGUG
rnacentral:rRNA from 1 species